UGGGGAAUAUUGGGCAAUGGGCGCAAGCCUGACCCAGCAACGCCGCGUGAGGGAAGAAGGUUUUCGGAUUGUAAACCUCUGUCGCAGGGGACGAAGGAAGUGACGGUACCCUGUAAGAAAGCCCCGGCUAACUACGUGCCAGCAGCCGCGGUAAUACGUAGGGGGCGAGCGUUGUCCGGAAUUACUGGGCGUAAAGGGAGCGUAGGCGGUUAAUUAAGUUAGAUGUGAAAUACCCGGGCUUAACUUGAGGGGUGCAUCUAAUACUGGUAAACUAGAGUACAGGAGAGGAAAGCGGAAUUCCUGGUGUAGCGGUGAAAUGCGUAGAUAUUAGGAGGAACACCGGUGGCGAAGGCGGCUUUCUGGACUGUAACUGACGCUGAGGCACGAAAGCGUGGGGAGCAAACAGGAUUAGAUACCCUGGUAGU
rnacentral:rRNA from 1 species